rnacentral:rRNA from 1 species
UAAUUUGCAGAGGAUGCUUCUGGCGAGGUGCCUUCCGAGUUCCCUGGAACGGGACGCCACAGAGGGUGAGAGCCCCGUCUGGUCGGACAACCGAGCCUCUGUGAAGCCCCUUCGACGAGUCGAGUAGUUUGGGAAUGCUGCUCUAAAUGGGAGGUAUAUGUCUUCUAAAGCUAAAUACCGGCCAGAGACCGAUAGCGCACAAGUAGAGUGAUCGAAAGAUGAAAAGCACUUUGAAAAGAGGGUUAAACAGUACGUGAAAUUGUUGAAAGGGAAGCGCUCAUGACCAGACCUGGUCCCGGCGAAUCACCCGGCGUUCUCGCCGGUGCACUUCGACGGGCUCUCCAGGCCAGCAUCAGUCCGCGCCGGGGGACAAAGGCGGCGGGAACGUGGCUCCCCAGGGAGUGUUAUAGCCCGCCGCGCAAUGCCCCGGGGGCGGACUGAGGCCCGCGCGUCACCGCAAGGAUGCUGGCGUAAUGGUCAUCAGCGACCCGUCUUGAAACACGGACCAAGGAGUCGUCCUCGUAUGCGAGUGUUGGGGCGUCAAACCCCCCGCGCGGAAUGAAAGUGAACGGCAGGUGAGAGCCCUCGCGGGCGCAUCAUCGACCGAUCCUGAUGUUCUCGGAUGGAUUUGAGUAGGAGCAUACGGGGCCGGACCCGAAAGAAGGUGAACUAUGCCUGUGUAGGGUGAAGCCAGAGGAAACUCUGGUGGAGGCUCGCAGCGGUUCUGACGUGCAAAUCGAUCGUCAAACAUGGGCAU